rnacentral:rRNA from 1 species
UACGUAGGGGGCGAGCGUUGUCCGGAAUCAUUGGGCGUAAAGCGCGUGUAGGCGGCUCGGUAAGUCUGCUGUGAAAGUCCAGGGCUCAACCCUGGGAUGCCGAUCGAUACUGCCGGGACUAGAGUCCGGAAGAGGCGAGUGGAAUUCCCGGGUGUAGCGGUGAAAUGCGCAGAUAUCGGGAGGAACACCAAUGGCGAAGGCAGCUCGCUGGGACGGUACUGACGCUGAGACGCGAAAGCGUGGGGAGCAAACAGG